rnacentral:rRNA from 1 species
AGCCAGACUCCUACGGGAGGCAGCAGUGGGGAAUAUUGCACAAUGGGGGAAACCCUGAUGCAGCGACGCCGCGUGAGUGAAGAAGUAUUUCGGUAUGUAAAGCUCUCUCAGCAGGGAAGAAAAUGACGGUACCUGACUAAGAAGCCCCGGCUAACUACGUGCCAGCAGCCGCGGUAAUACGUAGGGGGCAAGCGUUAUCCGGAUUUACUGGGUGUAAAGGGAGCGUAGACGGCAUGGCAAGUCAGAUGUGAAAGCCCGGGGCUCAACCCCGGGACUGCAUUUGGAACUGCGUGGCUUGAGUGUCGGAGAGGCAGGCGGAAUUCCUAGUGUAGCGGUGAAAUGCGUAGAUAUUAGGAGGAACACCAGUGGCGAAGGCGGCCUGCUGGACGAUGACUGACGUUGAGGCUCGAAAGCGUGGGGAGCAAACAGGAUUAGAUACCCGCGUAACG